rnacentral:rRNA from 1 species
AGUGAACGCUGGCGGUAGGCCUAACACAUGCAAGUCGAACGGCAGCACAGUAAGAGCUUGCUCUUACGGGUGGCGAGUGGCGGACGGGUGAGGAAUACAUCGGAAUCUACUUUUUCGUGGGGGAUAACGUAGGGAAACUUACGCUAAUACCGCAUACGACCUACGGGUGAAAGCAGGGGAUCUUCGGACCUUGCGCGAUUGAAUGAGCCGAUGUCGGAUUAGCUAGUUGGCGGGGUAAAGGCCCACCAAGGCGACGAUCCGUAGCUGGUCUGAGAGGAUGAUCAGCCACACUGGAACUGAGACACGGUCCCGACUCCUAAGGGAGGCAGCAGUGGGGAAUAUUGGACAAUGGGCGCAAGCCUGAUCCAGCCAUACCGCGUGGGUGAAGAAGGCCUUCGGGUUGGAAAGCCCUUUUGUUGGGAAAGAAAAGCAGCAGGUUAAUACCCCGCUGUUCUGACGGUACCCAAAGAAUAAGCACCGGCUAACUUCGUG